GUUUAAUGGGGUGUGUUUAAUUUUCUGUAUUUUGCAUAGUUGUUUCCAUUUUUGGAAUUAAUGUUUGUGAAAAAUGCAAUCUUUGGUCUGAUCAUGAAUUCAUAACUAUUUUGUUCCUAUUUGUUAUAAAAUAUGCAUAUAUUGUGAUUUUUAUGUUCUAACUGUCUUUUGAUAAGGCAUUUUAGCUUUUUUUGAGUGAAGUUUCCUCUUUUGACGUUUGGAAUGUGUGUUAAAGGCUUGUUUGGAUUGACUUUUUUGUUGACUUAAUUAGGCAAUUGUGAAAAUGUUUGAGAGAAGUUAUGAAAAGAACUUAUGACAUGUCCAUAAGUUAUUUUAAGUUUGUUUCUAUAAGCUCUUUAUGAUAGCUUAUAGCUUCUAUAGAAAAAGUUUACUUUAUUUUAUCUUUGUUAUAGAUAAGCACUUAAAUGUUAAGCCGUUGAUUAAGUUGUUUAUUCAAACAUGGCAAAAGUUGAAUUUGGGAUUUCUUACAUGAGGUUUGUGCUUUAAAAAAUCCUAUAAUAAGGGAACAUUAGUAUAGGUUCUGAUUAUAGAUAUCUUUGGUGUAAAAGAUGGAGUUAUGAAUCAUCCAUCUCAUAGAAAAUGAGCCAAUUGACCAAUUAACUUGAGCAAUAUGUUUUUUCUUUGUUUGCAUUCUUUGAUCAUUACUUAUUGCUUGCUGUUUUUUUGGUUUAAUUUUUUCAGAUGCGUAUGAUCCACUUGACCCGAAUGGGAAUAUCACAAUAAAAUGGGAUGUUAUUCAAUGGGCACCAGAUGGUUAUAUGCUAAGGUGGCUUGGGAAGGUGGACUUGAGUAUGUGGAGAUCCAAAAUUUAACCGAAUUUUAUGAUGACAACAGAGCACAAUUGGCAGGCUUGCUUACGAACUAUGCUCCAAACCUUUUGGAUACUAGGGGUAGACUUCUUCCUCGGUCAUAUGACGUGCUUGGUCUCUAUACAACAUUUAUAGUUCAAAAGCCUGACCCAGACAUAACACCACCAAUGGCAACUCCAAUAUUGCAAGAUGCUAGUUAUAAUCUUGACGAGGUAAUUAAUUCGAUGUAGUGCUACUUUUAUAAGAAUUUAUAUUUUGAUCAGUUUUGGUUUUGCUUUCCUAGAAUCAAGAAUGUAUCAGGUGCCUGUUUCUUUUUAACAUUUCCCUUAACAAGUGAUAUCAUAUGACAUGCCUUUUAAACAUUCUAGUCAUUCACAUUGCGGGCGGCACUCUCUAUAUUGUUUAAUUGUAAAUAAAUUAGUAAAUCUUCAAAUAUAUUGACGAGUCAUUUAAAAGUCUGAAGUCUGAACUCAGGAGUGAUAAGUUUUGACAAUUAGAUCAAAAUAGUGGAGAAGUUUUUUUGAAGUGGUAUAUAAUAAGGUAAAAAGGCUAUUAUCGAAAUCAUCAAUUUAAAGUGGUUAACUUGAGGUUCCACUUCCACCCUUUUUCGUGUAACUAGCUUUCUUCAGGGAAAAUCAUUGACCCUUAAGACCAAAUGAUAUUCGUUAUGUGAAUUUUGGGAUGAUAUAUUAACAAUGUCAUCCAUAUUCGGGUUGAGACCCUUUCAGCUUUUGCAGGUGUGUUAGUAUACUUUCAGGUCCAUUGUAUUGUAGUAUGUACCUGGGGCUGGUCCUGUCUGAUAGUUUCACUGGUAAGGCACCAGUGGUUGCAGUCGGAGAGGCCUGUGUACAUUGGUCCUAGGCUGAUUGUGUUUGGUGGUGCCACACUUCCCCUGCACUUGGAGGCAAAUUAUGUUGGAAAUAUGCUCAAACUUGAAUGUAGUGACUAACGUCUUCUCAUAUGUUUGCAUAUGGAGCUAUCCGACUCAAUGCAACAGCUAAGAUUUCGAGUUCUUGGGGACCAGGACAAAUCAUUCAGGCUAGUUUCAUUUUGAGAGAGACCAAUGUGUAAGGCAUGCUACCUUUCAAUGAAUGGUUGAAGAGAAGAAGAAAAUAAAAGAAAACCAAUAGAACCAGUUGGAACAAUAGAAACGCGAACAUUGUCACCAGUAGCAUCAACUGCAAUGGCAAUGUACAGUCUCAAAAUGGCCAUUUCGGAGCUGAAAGAAGACUCUCCAUUUUGUACUUCAUCUGGUAUAGUGAGAGUGGAGGUUCCUAUUGAGGAGCAAGUUGAAGCCAUUGAUUGGCUUCUUUCGCAAGGCCACCUUCUGCUUCCGAGAUGCUACUUCUCUGGUAGGGAACAAAAAUCUGUCCCUGGAAAUUUGGUUAGCAUUGCUGGUGUCGGUUCUGCUGUUUGCUUUUCUCAGCCACAACCCUUUCCUAUUGGGAUUGGAUGUCUAUAAGGAGGUUACUCAUCUUGGUUUGUUGAAAAUUUUAAACUUUGAAGUUAGUUUUUUCUUAUAAUUUGGGCUCAACCCUUAAACCGACCAAUAAGGUGAAAAAUGUUUCCCACUUAUAAAAACACAUUUUCAGGUCGUCUCUCAUAAGUGCAUUCACCAAGCUAUUAUUGUUGAUUAAGGCACCAUAUGCACAUUUUAAGUGGGAAUCAUUCACCAAGCUUUAUUUAAGGUACAUAACAUAAUAGUUAGAAAAAUCAUUCAGGCUAGUUUGAUUUUGAGAGGUACUAUUUGUUGAGGGUAAUUCAUUGUAACCAAUGUUGGUUACUUGUAACACAAGUAAAAGAGUUAGUUAGGUGAUUUUAUGUGAUGAGUUGUGUGUUUGUUAGUUUUUCUGUUAUGUUAGUUACUUGAUCUUAGGGAGUUAGUUAGUUUGUUAGUAACUUAACCUGUAAGCAACACAUCAUAAAUAGUGGUGUAAAGUGACAUUGUGAUAUAGUGAGAUCAAUAACAAUAACUUCUUUCUCUCUUAAUUCUCUCUCAAUUAUGUGUGUAUGUUCUUGCUUUAAUUAAGUUCCAACACUAUUGUGCAAUAUGUCACUAACAUUAAAUGGUAAUCCGGCAAUGCUCAUGACCAGUGUCACCUUACUAUGGUCAGUAAAAAAGUGAAAAAGAUUAAGGCACUUAUGCAGUUGAUAAAUAGCUUGACCAAGGUAUGCAGAUGUUAACACAACUUCUCAAAGUAUGCAUAGGAAGUAGAAGGAUUCAGAACAGAUUACAGGGGGGGCACACUAUUAGUUACAUAUUGUUUCUCUGGUUGCUCGCUUACUCCAAAGCCAUUUCAUAGUACACUUGAAACAACAAAGGCAAUAAAAAACUUAGUUUUACAGGUUUGUUUCUGAGCGAUGCCCUUUAAUUUGUGCAUAUGGUGCUAUCUGAUUCAAUGCAAAAGCCAAGGUGUCAUCAGUAUGGCUGGCUUUUGGUUCUUUCUACUUCAUGAUUCCUCAGGUUGAAUUUAAUGAGCUUGAAGGAGGAUCAAUGCUUACCACUACUAUUGCUUGGGAUAAUGCUCUUUAUUGGUCAUGGGAAAUUGCAAUGAGUGCACUUCAAGAAACACUUUACAAAGUGAGUGUAAAUAGAGAUUUAAGUGAGUGUCUUAUAGAUUAUUGUUGAAAUAAUUGAGAUACUCUUUACAAUGUCUCUAUCCUAGUUUACAUUGAGUACUUUUAUUGUUCUAAUUAUAUUACCAUA